rnacentral:snoRNA from 1 species
CGAUGGGGUUCGAAUGCGCUGGUCGAAACCGGUUUGCCCUAGCGUGGGAAACGCCCCAAAGAUCC